rnacentral:rRNA from 1 species
GCAAGUCGAACGAGAACGGAUCUAGCUUGCUAGAUUGUCAGCUAAGUGGCGCACGGGUGAGUAAUAUAUAGUUAAUUUGCCGGAAAGUUGGGGAUAAUUGUUGGAAACGACUUGUAAUACCUGAUAUGCCUCUAAUACAUAAGUAUGCGAGGGAAAGAUUUAUCGCUUUCCGAUAAGACUGUACAGUAUCAGAUAGUUGGUGGGGUAAUGGCCUACCAAGUCAAUGACGCUUAGCUGGUUUGAGAGGAUGAUC